UGCUUCAAUUGAAUAUACCGCUCUGGUAAUAUUUCAUCCUAUCUAAUUUCUUCAAACAUAGUAUCCUACUAUUGAAUUUCAUCCUAUCUAAUUUUUGACCUUGAGACACAUGGCUUCCCAUGCUUCAAUUGAUUUCAGUUUUCGGUAUUAGGCUUAUGCACAGGCAGCACUGCUUUUUGGAAGGGCUCCAUCUAAGCUCAUGUAUUCUCUGCAGGAUGUGCAACUUUUCUAGCAAACUAUCACGUACCGUCUUAUAACAAUUGCUUCUCCAGGGCGUGGUAUUUUGGCCAUGGAUGAAUCCAAUGCUACAUGUGGAAAGCGGUUGGAUUCAAUUGGACUAGAGAACACCGAAGCUUAACCGUCAAGCAUGGCGUAAAAUUAUAUAUGAAGAAAG